UCUGAAAAGACUGGAAGAUGAAAAGGAGAAAAAGAGUUAAAACCGUGACAGAAGAUAUUCCAAAAUACAUGAAUCAGGUUACCUCACCAAGCUCACCUCGUUCAGGACAAGGAAAUGAUGGCUCCGUGCAGAAUAGGUGGUCCACGGACAUCUCCCCUGCCCAGGACUACACUUCCCCUUCCUUCACAGACCUUUAAACUUCUCCACCACCUUCACCUUGAGUCCUCCCGACCCCCUGGAAACAUCCGUGACCGCUGACCAGGUCCCCUGGCUCUGACCAAUUCUAUCCCUCAAGGAGUCUCCCUUGGAGGCCGCACCUCCACCACGCUGGGCUGCCUGCACUGGAGCAAGAUGUGCGGCAUCGCCGAAGUCUGCUCCCUCCAAGCCAUAUUCAGGAAGCCGUGAGGACAGCCUGUGUCCCCAGCAGCCUAGGCCCAGCGGGCAGCCUCCGCAUGACCCCAGCGGACGGAGUCCAGCAAACACCACCACGGAA